rnacentral:rRNA from 1 species
GUCUCAUCAUUUAGGCUGCUCCUUGAUAAUCUUGUCUGAACUUAGAAGCUAAGCAGGGACAGUGCUGUUUAGUACUUGAAUGACAGACUGCUGGGGAAUAUCAGGUGUUGAAGGCU